UAUUCGUGCUUAUUCUGCUCGGCGUGCGACGUGACAAAAGUCGUGUCGCAUGUGUCACCCGAUUCCGGUAGGCGGAUGCGGUGACAAGAGUCGGUGUGGGUUAACACCGAUGAAAUCUCACCGUAUUCCCACAGUCGCAUCAGAUCGACAAAUGUCGCAUUCAAGUGACGUUUGGAUGUGAGGAUUGUCGUGACCUCGGGAGGAGUCGACAGCGAAGAAAAAAAACAUCAAAUUGGAGAAUGUGGUUAGUGUUUUUUAAUUACUUAGAUUAAUUAAUCGUCUUUAAUUACAAAUAUUUUGUUUUCUGUUUUACAGAUCGACCAAAAUAUGCAAAAAAGGAUAAUUUUUUUAAGCUACUGCCGAGCAGUUGAAAAUCGGAAAUUUUGCCUCGACAGUUACCAUGGAUGAUUCUCCGGUGCAGGUUUCCAGCUUGGUUUCGGUGGAAGACGACCUUCUAUGCUUCUGGUGUGGCAAAGUGGCAUUGGAAAAUAUCGGGUAGAGUGCAAAUUGUCGUUGCGGUUGAAACCGAAGUUUCCCCGCACGCGAAAAUCGCUUUUUUUCUCCCAAACCGUGCGUCAGGCAAAGUGCGCUGAAUAGAGGCAAA